rnacentral:lncRNA from 1 species
AGGAAGGGCGGGAGGAAGGGAGGGAGAGAGAGGUAGAGUGUGUCUGUAUGCGGCGUACAUGUGGUACAGCCAGGGAGAUCAGAACGCUCACAGAACAGGCAGUGCAAUUCCAUGUUCGUCUUAAGUAUGUUAGCCCUACCGGGAGCUGAGCUGGCCAGUCUACUUGGAGAGGAAAAGUAGAUUUGGGGAAGGUGGAAGGGUCAGUUGCUAAGUGACUUCCUCCUCGGGGAUGGUAAGGGCAUUUGCUGAUCUCCAGUGACUGCCUGGUGCCUCAUGGUCAGACUCGGCUGUCUCACUCCCAGAUAUCUGAUUUUGCAAAAAGGGACACACCUAUCUGCAGCAAAGAAGACACUGACCAGAUUGCGAGCGGUGCUUUUGGAUGCUCUGUAGCCACCCGGGGCCCAGGCGGACUGACUCGGCAGCAGGAUUCGUGCAUGGGAAUCGGAGACCAUGGCAGUGCAGCUGGUGCCCGACUCAGCUCUCGGCCUGCUGAUGUCCUAGCUCUCACAUCUGUGUGGCACAGAUCUACAUGAAGUAUUACGACUUCUGUGUACCCUGUGAAUACCACGUAUAUUCUCUCCCGUGCAGCGGUCGGCCUGCAGCCCUCCAGGACCUCAGGCAAGAGCAAGAGUGUCUCCAAGUGCCA